UGAGUACGAGACACUACGGUGUCGAAGCAGUCUAUGUCAUACUUCCAAGAAAAGCUUGCACUGUCAUAAACAAAUAAUGCCUGUACCAUAACCGACACAGGUGGGUAGGUAGAGUAUACUAAGGGGCGCGAGAUAACUCUCUCUAAGGAACUCGGCAAAAUGACUCCGUAACUUCGGGAGAAGGAGUGCCUUAUAUUUUAUAAGGUUGCAAUAACAAGAUCCAAGCAACUGUUUACCAAAAACACAGGUCUCCGCUAAGUCGUAAGACGAUGUAUGGGGGCUGACGCCUGCCCAGUGCCAGAAGGUUAAAGAAGUUGGUUAGUAUUUGCGAAGCUGAUAACUGAAGCCCUGGUGAACGGCGGCCGUAACGAUAACGGUCCUAAGGUAGCGAAAUUCCUUGUCGGGUAAGUUCCGACCCGCACGAAAGGCGUAAUGAUUUGGAUACUGUCUCGGAGAGGGACUCGGUGAAAUAGACUUGUCUGUGAAGAUGCGGACUACUUGCACCAGGACAGAAAGACCCUAUGAAGCUUUACUGUAACUUGAAAUUGAAAUUGGACUUUACUUGCGCAGUAUAGGUGGGAGGCUUUGAGAAUAUUCUUGCGGGAAUAUUGGAGCCAUUAGUGAGAUACCACUCUGGUAAUGUUAGAUUUCUAACUUUGUAUCAUUAUCUGGUCAUAGAACAGUUUCAGGCGGGCAGUUUGACUGGGGCGGUCGCCUCCUAAACGGUAACGGAGGCGCACAAAGGUUUCCUCUGAACGGGUAGAAAUCGUAUCUAGAGAGUAAAGGCAUAAGGAAGCUUGACUGUGAGACCUACAAGUCGAGCAGGGACGAAAGUCGGUCUUAGUGAUCUGACGGUGCUGAGUGGAAAGGCCGUCACUCAACGGAUAAAAGUUACUCUAGGAUAACAGGCUGAUCUCCCCCAAGAGUUCACACCGACGGGGAGGUUUGGCACCUCGAUGUCGGCUCAUCGCACCCUGGGGCGGUAGUACGUCCCAAGGGUUGGGCUGUUCGCCCAUGAAAGCGGUACGCGAGCUGGGUUCAGAACGUCGUGAGACAGUUCGGUCCAUAUCCGGUGUAAGCGUUAGAAUAUUGAGAGGAGCCUUCUUUAGUACGAGAGGACCGAGAAGGAUGCACCGCUGGUGUACCAGUUAUUGUGCCAACAGUAAACGCUGGGUAGCUAUGUGUGGAGUGGAUAACCGCUGAAAGCAUCUAAGUGGGAAGCCCACCUCAAGAUAAGUAUUCUUAUCACGUAAGUGAAUAAGGUCACGGUAAGACUAACCGUUUGAUAGGCAUUAAGUGUAAAUCUAGUAAUAGACGAGCUGAGAUGUACUAACAGACCGAAGAC
rnacentral:rRNA from 1 species